GAUGAACGCUGGCGGCGUGCCUAAUACAUGCAAGUCGAGCGAACGGACGAGAAGCUUGCUUCUCUGAUGUUAGCGGCGGACGGGUGAGUAACACGUGGAUAACCUACCUAUAAGACUGGGAUAACUUCGGGAAACCGGAGCUAAUACCGGAUAAUAUUUUGAACCGCAUGGUUCAAAAGUGAAAGACGGUCUUGCUGUCACUUAUAGAUGGAUCCGCGCUGCAUUAGCUAGUUGGUAAGGUAACGGCUUACCAAGGCAACGAUGCAUAGCCGACCUGAGAGGGUGAUCGGCCACACUGGAACUGAGACACGGUCCAGACUCCUACGGGAGGCAGCAGUAGGGAAUCUUCCGCAAUGGGCGAAAGCCUGACGGAGCAACGCCGCGUGAGUGAUGAAGGUCUUCGGAUCGUAAAACUCUGUUAUUAGGGAAGAACAUAUGUGUAAGUAACUGUGCACAUCUUGACGGUACCUAAUCAGAAAGCCACGGCUAACUACGUGCCAGCAGCCGCGGUAAUACGUAGGUGGCAAGCGUUAUCCGGAAUUAUUGGGCGUAAAGCGCGCGUAGGCGGUUUUUUAAGUCUGAUGUGAAAGCCCACGGCUCAACCGUGGAGGGUCAUUGGAAACUGGAAAACUUGAGUGCAGAAGAGGAAAGUGGAAUUCCAUGUGUAGCGGUGAAAUGCGCAGAGAUAUGGAGGAACACCAGUGGCGAAGGCGACUUUCUGGUCUGUAACUGACGCUGAUGUGCGAAAGCGUGGGGAUCAAACAGGAUUAGAUACCCUGGUAGUCCACGCCGUAAACGAUGAGUGCUAAGUGUUAGGGGGUUUCCGCCCCUUAGUGCUGCAGCUAACGCAUUAAGCACUCCGCCUGGGGAGUACGACCGCAAGGUUGAAACUCAAAGGAAUUGACGGGGACCCGCACAAGCGGUGGAGCAUGUGGUUUAAUUCGAAGCAACGCGAAGAACCUUACCAAAUCUUGACAUCCUUUGACAACUCUAGAGAUAGAGCUCUCCUCUUCGGGGGACAAAGUGACAGGUGGUGCAUGGUUGUCGUCAGCUCGUGUCGUGAGAUGUUGGGUUAAGUCCCGCAACGAGCGCAACCCUUAAGCUUAGUUGCCAUCAUUAAGUUGGGCACUCUAAGUUGACUGCCGGUGACAAACCGGAGGAAGGUGGGGAUGACGUCAAAUCAUCAUGCCCCUUAUGAUUUGGGCUACACACGUGCUACAAUGGACAAUACAAAGGGCAGCGAAACCGCGAGGUCAAGCAAAUCCCAUAAAGUUGUUCUCAGUUCGGAUUGUAGUCUGCAACUCGACUACAUGAAGCUGGAAUCGCUAGUAAUCGUAGAUCAGCAUGCUACGGUGAAUACGUUCCCGGGUCU
rnacentral:rRNA from 1 species